UACAGAGGGGGCAAGCGUUGUUCGGAAUUACUGGGCGUAAAGGGCGCGUAGGCGGCCCGCUAAGUCGAACGUGAAAUCCCCGGGCUCAACCCGGGAACUGCGUCCGAUACUGGAGGGCUUGAAUCCGGGAGAGGGAUGCGGAAUUCCAGGUGUAGCGGUGAAAUGCGUAGAUAUCUGGAGGAACACCGGUGGCGAAGGCGGCAUCCUGGACCGGCAUUGACGCUGAGGCGCGAAAGCCAGGGGAGCAAACGGG
rnacentral:rRNA from 1 species